ACAGGGAUUGCCUCAGUAACGGCGAGUGAAGCGGCAAGAGCUCAAAUUUGAAAUCUGGCUCCUUCGGGGCCCGAGUUGUAAUUUGGAGAGGAUGCUUCGGGCGUGGCCCCCAUCUAAGUGCCCUGGAACGGGCCGUCAUAGAGGGUGAGAAUCCCGUCUGGGAUGGGUGGUCCCGCCCGUGUGAAGCUCCUUCGAAGAGUCGAGUUGUUUGGGAAUGCAGCUCUAAGAGGGUGGUAAAUUUCAUCUAAAGCUAAAUAUUGGCCGGAGACCGAUAGCGCACAAGUAGAGUGAUCGAAAGAUGAAAAGCACUUUGAAAAGAGAGUUAAACAGCACGUGAAAUUGUUGAAAGGGAAGCGUUGGCAACCAGACUCGCCCGGGGGGGCUCAGCCGGCACGUGUGCCGGUGCACUCCCCCCCGGGCGGGCCAGCGUCGGUUUGGGCGGUCGGUCAAAGGCCCCGGGAAUGUAGCACCCUCCGGGGUGCCUUAUAGCCCGAGGCGCCAUGCGACCUGCCCGGACCGAGGAACGCGCUCCGGCUCGGACGCUGGCGUAAUGGUUGUCAACGGCCCGUCUUGAAACACGGACCAAGGAGUCUAACAUCUAUGCGAGUGUUCGGGUGUCAACCCCGUCCGCGCAGUGAAAGCGAACGGAGGUGGG
rnacentral:rRNA from 1 species